GUGGGGAAUCUUGCGCAAUGGGCGAAAGCCUGACGCAGCCAUGCUGCGUGAAUGAUGAAGGUCUUAGGAUUGUAAAAUUCUUUCACCGGGGACGAUAAUGACGGUACCCGGAGAAGAAGCCCCGGCUAACUUCGUGCCAGCAGCCGCGGUAAUACGAAGGGGGCUAGCGUUGCUCGGAAUUACUGGGCGUAAAGGGCGCGUAGGCGGACAGUUUAGUCAGAGGUGAAAGCCCAGGGCUCAACCUUGGAAUUGCCUUUGAUACUGGCUGUCUUGAGUACGGGAGAGGUGAGUGGAACUCCGAGUGUAGAGGUGAAAUUCGUAGAUAUUCGGAAGAACACCAGUGGCGAAGGCGACUCACUGGCCCGUUACUGACGCUGAGGCGCGAAAGCGUGGGGAGCAAACAGGAUUAGAUACCCUAGUAGUCC
rnacentral:rRNA from 1 species